rnacentral:rRNA from 1 species
UACAGAGGCCCCAAAGCGGUUUAGGCGGAAAUCACUGGGCUUAAAGCGUGUGGUAGGCGGACUUCUAAGUACCUUGUGAAAUCCCACGGCUUAACCGUGGAACUGACUUGGUAUACUGGUCGUCUUGAGCCACUUAGGGGUUACCGGAACAAAUGGUGGAGCGGUGAAAUGCGUAGAUAUCAUUUGGAACGCCAAUGGUGAAAACAGGUAACUGGGAGUGUGCUGACGCUGAGACACGAAAGCCAGGGGAGCGAACGGG